GAAGCUUUUAUGGGUGAAGCUUUUAUGGGUGAAGCUUUUGUUGGUGAAGCUUUUAUGGGUGAAGCUUUUGUGGGUGAAGCUUUUGUGUUGAAGCUUUGUAGGUGAAGCUUUGGAGUUGAAGCUUUGUAGGUGAAGCUUUUGUGUUGAAGCUUUUGUAGGUGAAACUUUUGUGUUGAAGCUUUUGUAGGUGAAGCUUUGGAGUUGAAGCUUUGUAGGUGAAGCUUUGGAGUUGAAG
rnacentral:lncRNA from 1 species